rnacentral:rRNA from 1 species
AUGGCUCAGGACGAACGCUGGCGGCGUGCCUAAUACAUGCAAGUCGAACGGCUUUUCUAUGGAAGCUUGCUUCCACUGAGAAGAUAGUGGCGAACGGGUGAGUAACACGUGGGUAACCUGCCCAUAAGAGGGGGAUAACAUCCGGAAACGGGUGCUAAUACCGCAUAGUUUUCUUGAUCGCAUGAUCGGGAAAGGAAAGACGGCCUUUGUGCUGUCGCUUAUGGAUGGACCCGCGGCGUAUUAGUUAGUUGGUGAGGUAACGGCUCACCAAGACGAUGAUACGUAGCCGACCUGAGAGGGUGAUCGGCCACAUUGGGACUGAGACACGGCCCAAACUCCUACGGGAGGCAGCAGUAGGGAAUCUUCCGCAAUGGACGAAAGUCUGACGGAGCAACGCCGCGUGAGUGAAAGAAGGUUUUCGGAUCGUAAAACUCUGUUGUCAGAGAAGAACAAGUUGGAGAGUAACUGCUCCAGCCUUGACGGUAUCUGACCAGAAAGCCACGGCUAACUACGUGCCAGCCGCGGC